rnacentral:rRNA from 1 species
UACGAGGGGGGGCGAGCGUUGUCCGGAAUUAUUGGGCGUAAAGGGUGCGUAGGCGGUUUGGUAAGUCUUAUGUGAAAUCUACAGGCUCAACUUGUAGUCUGCAUGAGAAACUGCCGGGCUUGAGUAUGGGAGAGGUGAGUGGAAUUCCUGGUGUAGCGGUGAAAUGCGUAGAUAUCAGGAGGAACACCUGUGGCGAAAAGCGGCUCACUGGACCAUAACUGACGCUGAUGCACGAAAGCUAGGGGAGCAAACAGG